UCUCCAGUAGCUCAAUUGGCAGAGCGAGUGGCUGUUAACCACUAGGUCGUUGGUUCAAACCCAACCUGGGGAG
rnacentral:tRNA from 1 species